GGGUGACUGCGUACCUUUUGUAUAAUGGGUCAGCGACUUAUAUUCUGUAGCAAGGUUAACCGUAUAGGGGAGCCGCAGGGAAACCGAGUCUUAACUGGGCGUUAAGUUGCAGGGUAUAGACCCGAAACCCGGUGAUCUAGCCAUGGGCAGGUUGAAGGUUGGGUAACACUAACUGGAGGACCGAACCGACUAAUGUUGAAAAAUUAGCGGAUGACUUGUGGCUGGGGGUGAAAGGCCAAUCAAACCGGGAGAUAGCUGGUUCUCCCCGAAAGCUAUUUAGGUAGCGCCUCGUGAACUCAUCUUCGGGGGUAGAGCACUGUUUCGGCUAGGGGGUCAUCCCGACUUACCAACCCGAUGCAAACUACGAAUACCGAAGAAUGUUAUCACGGGAGACACACGGCGGGUGCUAACGUCCGUCGUGAAGAGGGAAACAACCCAGACCGCCAGCUAAGGUCCCAAAGUCAUGGUUAAGUGGGAAACGAUGUGGGAAGGCCCAGACAGCCAGGAUGUUGGCUUAGAAGCAGCCAUCAUUUAAAGAAAGCGUAAUAGCUCACUGGUCGAGUCGGCCUGCGCGGAAGAUGUAACGGGGCUAAACCAUGCACCGAAGCUGCGGCAGCGACACUAUGUGUUGUUGGGUAGGGGAGCGUUCUGUAAGCCGUUGAAGGUGGCCUGUGAGGGUUGCUGGAGGUAUCAGAAGUGCGAAUGCUGACAUAAGUAACGAUAAUGCGGGUGAAAAACCCGCACGCCGGAAGACCAAGGGUUCCUGUCCAACGUUAAUCGGGGCAGGGUGAGUCGACCCCUAAGGCGAGGCCGAAAGGCGUAGUCGAUGGGAAACAGGUUAAUAUUCCUGUACUCGGUGUUACUGCGAAGGGGGGACGGAGAAGGCUAUGUUGGCCGGGCGACGGUUGUCCCGGUUUAAGCAUGUAGGCGGAUGUUCCAGGUAAAUCCGGAACGUUAUCAACGCUGAGGUGUGAUGACGAGGCACUACGGUGCUGAAGUGACAAAUGCCCUGCUUCCAGGAAAAGCCUCUAAGCAUCAGGUAACAUCAAAUCGUACCCCAAACCGACACAGGUGGUCAGGUAGAGAAUACCAAGGCGCUUGAGAGAACUCGGGUGAAGGAACUAGGCAAAAUGGUGCCGUAACUUCGGGAGAAGGCACGCUGAUGGUAGGUGAAGCGACUUGCUCGUGGAGCUGAAAUCAGUCGAAGAUACCAGCUGGCUGCAACUGUUUAUUAAAAACACAGCACUGUGCAAACACGAAAGUGGACGUAUACGGUGUGACGCCUGCCCGGUGCCGGAAGGUUAAUUGAUGGGGUUAUCCUCACGGAGAAGCUCUUGAUCGAAGCCCCGGUAAACGGCGGCCGUAACUAUAACGGUCCUAAGGUAGCGAAAUUCCUUGUCGGGUAAGUUCCGACCUGCACGAAUGGCGUAAUGAUGGCCAGGCUGUCUCCACCCGAGACUCAGUGAAAUUGAACUCGCUGUGAAGAUGCAGUGUACCCGCGGCAAGACGGAAAGACCCCGUGAACCUUUACUAUAGCUUGACACUGAACACUGGUCCUUGAUGUGUAGGAUAGGUGGGAGGCUUUGAAGUGUGGACGCCAGUCUGCAUGGAGCCAUCCUUGAAAUACCACCCUUUAAUGGCUGGUGUUCUAACGUGGGCCCGUAAUCCGGGUUGCGGACAGUGUCUGGUGGGUAGUUUGACUGGGGCGGUCUCCUCCUAAAGAGUAACGGAGGAGCACGAAGGUCAGCUAAUCCUGGUCGGACAUCAGGAGGUUAGUGCAAUGGCAUAAGCUGGCUUGACUGCGAGCGUGACGGCGCGAGCAGGUGCGAAAGCAGGUCAUAGUGAUCCGGUGGUUCUGAAUGGAAGGGCCAUCGCUCAACGGAUAAAAGGUACUCCGGGGAUAACAGGCUGAUACCGCCCAAGAGUUCAUAUCGACGGCGGUGUUUGGCACCUCGAUGUCGGCUCAUCACAUCCUGGGGCUGAAGUAGGUCCCAAGGGUAUGGCUGUUCGCCAUUUAAAGUGGUACGCGAGCUGGGUUUAGAACGUCGUGAGACAGUUCGGUCCCUAUCUGCCGUGGGCGCUGGAGAAUUGAGGGGGGCUGCUCCUAGUACGAGAGGACCGGAGUGGACGCAUCACUGGUGUUCGGGUUGUCAUGCCAAUGGCAUUGCCCGGUAGCUAAAUGCGGAAGAGAUAAGUGCUGAAAGCAUCUAAGCACGAAACUUGCCCCGAGAUGAGUUCUCCCUGACCCUUUAAGGGUCCUGAAGGAACGUUGAAGACGACGACGUUGAUAGGCCGGGUGUGUAAGCGCAGCGAUGCGUUGAGCUAACCGGUACUAAUGAACCGUGAGGCUUAACCUU
rnacentral:rRNA from 1 species